ACACGGUCCAGACUCCUACGGGAGGCAGCAGUGGGGAAUAUUGCACAAUGGGCGCAAGCCUGAUGCAGCCAUGCCGCGUGUAUGAAGAAGGCCUUCGGGUUGUAAAGUACUUUCAGCAGUGAGGAAGGUGAUGUAGUUAAUAACUGCAUCAUUUGACGUUAGCUGCAGAAGAAGCACCGGCUAACUCCGUGCCAGCAGCCGCGGUAAUACGGAGGGUGCGAGCGUUAAUCGGAAUUACUGGGCGUAAAGCGCAUGCAGGUGGAUGAUUAAGUCAGAUGUGAAAGCCCGGGGCUCAACCUCGGAAUUGCAUUUGAAACUGGUCAUCUAGAGUACUGUAGAGGGGGGUAGAAUUUCAGGUGUAGCGGUGAAAUGCGUAGAGAUCUGAAGGAAUACCGGUGGCGAAGGCGGCCCCCUGGACAGAUACUGACACUCAGAUGCGAAAGCGUGGGGAGCAAACAGGAUUAGAUACCCUGGUAGUCCACGCCGUAAACGAUGUCUACUUGGAGGUUGUGGCCUUGAGCCGUGGCUUUCGGAGCUAACGCGUUAAGUAGACCGCCUGGGGAGUACGGUCGCAAGAUUAAAACUCAAAUGAAUUGACGGGGGCCCGCACAAGCGGUGGAGCAUGUGGUUUAAUUCGAUGCAACGCGAAGAACCUUACCUACUCUUGACAUCCAGAGAAUUUUCCAGAGAUGGAUUNGUGCCUUCGGGAACUCUGAGACAGGUGCUGCAUGGCUGUCGUCAGCUCGUGUUGUGAAAUGUUGGGUUAAGUCCCGCAACGAGCGCAACCCUUAUCCUUGUUUGCCAGCGAGUAAUGUCGGGAACUCCAGGGAGACUGCCGGUGAUAAACCGGAGGAAGGUGGGGACGACGUCAAGUCAUCAUGGCCCUUACGAGUAGGGCUACACACGUGCUACAAUGGCGCAUACAGAGGGCAGCAAGCUAGCGAUAGUGAGCGAAUCCCAAAAAGUGCGUCGUAGUCCGGAUUGGAGUCUGCAACUCGACUCCAUGAAGUCGGAAUCGCUAGUAAUCGUGGAUCAGAAUGCCACGGUGAAUACGUUNCCCGGGCCUUGUACACACCGCCCGUCACAUCCAUGGGAGUGGG
rnacentral:rRNA from 1 species